ensembl:lncRNA
GCUGGGGUUGGAGCUGAGAUUAGAUUAGGAGUUAGGGUUAGAGGCUGGGGUUGGAGCUGAGAUUAGAUUAGAUUAGGUGUUAGGGUUAGAGGCUGGGGUUGGAGCUGAGAUUAGAUUAGGUGUUAGGGUUAGAGGCUGGGGUUAGAGCUGAGAUUAGGUGUUAGGGUUAGAGACUGGGAUUGGAGCUGAGAUUAGAUUAGAUUAGGUGUUAGGGUUAGAGACUGGGGUUGGAGCUGAGAUUAGAUUAGGUGUUAGGGUUAGAGACUGGGAUUGGAGCUGAGAUUAGAUUAGAUUAGGUGUUAGGGUUAGAGACUGGGGUUGGAGCUGAGAUUAGAUUAGGUGUUAGGGUUAGAGACUGGGGUUAGAGCUGAGGUUAGAUUAGGUGUUAGGGUUAGAGUCUGGGGUUGGAGCUGAGAUUAGAUUAGGUGUUAGGGUUAGAGGCUGGAGUUGGGGUUGGAGCUGAGAUUAG